AGAGUUUGUAUCCUGGCUCAAGAACGAACGCUGGCGGGCAGGCUUAACACAUGCAAGUCGAACGCCCGCAAGGGGAGGUGGCAGAACGGGUGAGUAACGCGUGGGAAUCUACCCAUCUCUACGGAAUAACUCAGGGAAACUUGUGCUAAUACCGUAUACGCCCUUUGGGGAAAGAUUUAUCGGAGAUGGAUGAGCCCGCGUUGGAUUAGCUAGUUGGUGGGGUAAAGGCCUACCAAGGCGACGAUCCAUAGCUGGUCUGAGAGGAUGAUCAGCCACAUUGGGACUGGGACACGGCCCAAACUCCUACGGGAGGCAGCAGUGGGGAAGUAUUGGACAAUGGGCGCAAGCCUGAUCCAGCCAUGCCGCGUGAGUGAUGAAGGCCCUAGGGUUGUAAAGCUCUUUCACCGAUGAAGAUAAUGACUGUAGUCGGAGAAGAAGCCCCGGCUAACUUCGUG
rnacentral:rRNA from 1 species